CUGUGGCAUUUUUGAAAGCGACGUGGGAGCAUGCAGAAUAUUAAACUGAACAUCAGUAAACUAGAUUCAUAUCUACAUAUAAUGCAGCACUGUUGGAUUCUCAUUUGUGAUUGGUCAGAAGGUGUUGCGGAAUUUUCUAGAACAUUACUGCAGCUCUAAUUCAAAUCACAGGUUUAUAUUAAUGUGCUCAUUCUAAUAUGUUAUCGUUUCCAUAGUAACAGCUCAUACACAGGGACUGGUUUGGCAGAUGCUCCACAUAAUCUAAGACUACCGAUGAAUGGAUUUUUAUUUUUUUUAACGUAUUGUUGUACAACAAAGAAUAACGUGAUUGUUGUAUGGUGAAGUUUACUAUAUGAAGACAUUUAUUUGACAUUUGUGGAAGGAGUCUCCAGUGUCAGCAUUUUGUUAUAGUCAGAGAACGCACAGAACGAACUUGCGUUCUUGUGAAGAGCAGUCUUCCAGGCUACCUUGAAAGAUUGAACUCGGAAUGACAGGAGGACACAGAGAAUUAAGAUGUGCUGUUAGCUUCCUGUUGCGCAAUGGACCGUCCCAGCACAUUUCUAGAAGUGGGACAGGGUCCUCAUCUCUGCAGUGCGCACUAAGUAAUAUGUUUCAGCUGGUUAAUAGAUUUACUGUUAACUGGCUGAUUAAGCAUGUUUCAAUGUAGUAAGCUCUCUGUUUGCAACUGCUAAACUAAAAACUAAGCUAACGAGUUUACCGUUUCUUCAGGAUGGAAGCUAGCAUAGUUUAAUUAAAAUACUUCUGAGGGAUAAACUCAACUUUUCAACAAAAUAGUAUGUACAGCCUAUACUGUAUAUAUCAGAAUAAUUCUGUUUAGAUGCAUAUUUUGAAAUUUUUAGAUUGUUGUCGUUAAAAAGAUGUUAAAAGAACAGGUAUUGGUCAGGCUUCCGUCAUCCACUAUUGCUUUGCCACACAGACUUCUGGAACUUCAAGCGGGUUCGGUGCGGUCAGGUCUGCAUCGGUACUUGCAUUCUUGAGUAUUGGAAUUGAACUCUGGUGAUGGAUGAUGAUGUAGAAUGAGUUCACAAGGAUGCAACAUUGCGUAAGAAUGCAUAUUGAGAAACAGCCUUAGUCUCUUUCGAAGGACUAUGACACUCACUCACCGCCCACUGUGUUCAGGACAGAGGAUUUUACACUUUGUGGUUUAUUGAUGAAUCUGUGGCCGUCGAGGCUUCCCGUCAGAUUACAGUUUCUUUUUACACAUUGUUCUCACACUGUUAAAUGUUAGUACUCUCUAAACAGUGUGAUAUUUAGCCACUUUGAUUAAAAUUCUCAUCUUCAAAACAUUGUCUGUCGCUUACUUUGCAGGAACAAAUGCACUAAUUAAUCUCCCGUGAUCACACUCUCGUGUACACAUCUCUCGCAUUACUGUAGCUCCGCUAGCUUUGCUAAUUCAAUUCAAUUUCAAUUCUAAUCUGCCUGCA